rnacentral:rRNA from 1 species
CGCCCUACGGACGCAGCAGUGGGGAAUAUUGCACAUUGGGGGAAACCCUGAUGCAGCAACGCCGCGUGAGUGAAGAAGUAUUUCGGUAUGUAAAGCUCUAUCAGCAGGGAAGAAGAUGACGGUACCUGAAUAAGAAGCCCCGGCUAACUACGUGCCAGCAGCCGCGGUAAUACGUAGGGGGCAAGCGUUAUCCGGAUUUACUGGGUGUAAAGGGAGCGCAGACGGCAGUGCAAGUCUGGAGUGAAAGCCCGGGGCCCAACCCCGGAACUGCUCUGGAAACUGUGCGGCUAGAGUACUGGAGGGGG